rnacentral:rRNA from 1 species
GAUGAACGCUAGCUACAGGCUUAACACAUGCAAGUCGAGGGGAAACGGCAUUUAGUGCUUGCACUGAAUGGACGUCGACCGGCGCACGGGUGAGUAACGCGUAUCCAACCUACCCAUUACCGUGGGAUAACCUGCCGAAAGGCAGACUAAUACCGCAUAGUCUUCGAUGACGGCAUCAGAUUUGAAGUAGAGAUUUAUCGGUAAUGGAUGGGGAUGCGUCUGAUUAGCUUGUUGGCGGGGUAACGGCCCACCAAGGCAACGAUCAGUAGGGGUUCUGAGAGGAAGGUCCCCCACAUUGGAACUGAGACACGGUCCAAACUCCUACGGGAGGCAGCAGUGAGGAAUAUUGGUCAAUGGGCGGGAGCCUGAACCAGCCAAGUAGCGUGCAGGAUGACGGCCCUAUGGGUUGUAAACUGCUUUUGUAUGGUGAUAAAGUCAAUCACGUGUGAUUGUUUGCAGGUAUCAUACGAAUAAGGACCGGCUAAUUCCGUGC